CCGAGUUUACAACUCCCAAACCCCUGUGAACAUACCUAUCGUUGCUUCGGCGGGAUGCCCCAGUUUUGACGCAAGCUGGACCCAGGCGCCCCGCCGGAGGACCCAAACUCUUGUUUUAUUUAUGUAUCUUCUGAGGUAAACAAGCAAAUAAAUUA
rnacentral:misc_RNA from 1 species